rnacentral:rRNA from 1 species
GACGAACGCUGGCGGCGUGCCCAAUACAUGCAAGUCGAACGCUUCUUUCCUCCCGAGUGCUUGCACUCAAUUGGAAAGAGGAGUGGCGGACGGGUGAGUAACACGUGGGUAACCUACCCAUCAGAGGGGGAUAACACUUGGAAACAGGUGCUAAUACCGCAUAACAGUUUAUGCCGCAUGGCAUAAGAGUGAAAGGCGCUUUCGGGUGUCGCUGAUGGAUGGACCCGCGGUGCAUUAGCUAGUUGGUGAGGUAACGGCUCACCAAGGCCACGAUGCAUAGCCGACCUGAGAGGGUGAUCGGCCACACUGGGACUGAGACACGGCCCAGACUCCUACGGGAGGCAGCAGUAGGGAAUCUUCGGCAAUGGACGAAAGUCUGACCGAGCAACGCCGCGUGAGUGAAGAAGGUUUUCGGAUCGUAAAACUCUGUUGUUAGAGAAGAACAAGGACGUUAGUAACUGAACGUCCCCUGACGGUAUCUAACCAGAAAGCCACGGCUAACUACGUG